AGCGAACGCUGGCGGCAGGCUUAACACAUGCAAGUCGAGCGGGCACUUUCGGGUGUCAGCGGCGGACGGGUGAGUAACGCGUGGGAACGUCCCCUCUGGUUCGGAAUAACUCAGGGAAACUUGAGCUAAUACCGGAUACGCCCUUUUGGGGAAAGGCUUGCUGCCGGAGGAUCGGCCCGCGUCUGAUUAGCUAGUUGGUGAGGUAACGGCUCACCAAGGCGACGAUCAGUAGCUGGCCUGAGAGGAUGAUCAGCCACACUGGGACUGAGACACGGCCCAGACUCCUACGGGAGGCAGCAGUGGGGAAUAUUGGACAAUGGGCGCAAGCCUGAUCCAGCCACGCCGCGUGAGUGAUGAAGGCCUUAGGGUUGUAAAGCUCUUUUAUCCGGGACGAUAAUGACGGUACCGGAGGAAUAAGCCCCGGCUAACUUCGUG
rnacentral:rRNA from 1 species